CCCACUAAGAGGGUGGAAGUAGGACUUACCUGUUUCUCAAAGGCACUUGGCACCAAUCUUCUCAACUCUGAAAGACUGUUAUUGAUUCUGUCACGUCUCCGUUUCUCGAUAAUCUGUAAAGAGGUUAAAGAUACAGAGUUAUUUAGGUUACAUGUGGCGAGGAAAAGAGGGGGUGAUAUGAAACAGCAGGGAUGAGGACUUUUCUUACCCCUCUGCGCCUUUUUCUGGCUUGGACUUGGGUCGUUGUGGAGGGCGACAUCGAGCCGUGGGAAUCCAGUUGACUGAAAGGUCUGGGAAAGAACAGCGCUUGAGGCUGGUAUACUUCCUGCAUAAAGACGUGUCUGGUAAGGCCAUCAGUGAGAGCGUGACCCCCCAAACAUCUUCCAUACUAGUACCUUGUCGAGCAGCAGCUGUUUCUCUGCUCCGUCCGUCAGAUAAUCCAGAGGAGCCUAUGAAGAGACACCGGCCAAACUUAAAGGACAGCUGAAGAGAGACAAGAAAUGUGGGGAGAAGAGAGUGG